ACCACAACCUCCUAUCAGCAGCGGGAUCCCACCAACCUGGCCUGCUCUGUGUUCUUCCACAUACACGUCUUGAAGGCAUUUUGUGACUUUGGCUAUCUGUUAUGGUGGCACUAGUGUCCACUAGAAAGUAAUUUGCAUGUGGCCUGCAGGACUUGAGGAAAACUCAGAAUAUGCUAACCCAAUCUUAGGUCUCUGCUUUUACUGUUUUUUGUUCUAGCCAUUUGUCUGCUGGUAAUUUCUACUCUAACAGGCUGCUGACUUCUUGAAAGCAAGGCCUGGGUCAUUCUAACAGGUAUAAGGUGAUAUCUCAUUGUGGUUUUGAUUUGCAUUUCACUGAUGUUUAGUAAUGUGGAGCAUUUUUUAUAUACCUGUUGGCCCCUUGUAUAUCUUCUUUACAGAGUGUCUAUUCAGGUAUUUUGCCCAUUUUUAAUAGGGUUAUUUGUUUUCUUGCUUUUAAGUUGAGUUCCUUACAUAUUUUGGACAUUAACCCAUGUAGUUUGUAUAGUUUGCCAGUAUCCUUUCCCAUUUUAUAGGUUGUUUGUUCACUCUGCUGAUUGUUUCCUUUGCUGUGAAGAAGCUUUUUGGUUUAAUAUAGUCCCUUUUGUCCAAUUUUGC
rnacentral:lncRNA from 10 species